GUUUACUUUUUGUUGUGCUGGGAAUUGAUUGCAUGCCCAUGGUACCUGGUGAUCCUUGGAGAGAUGACAAGCGACUCACAGAGCCUUCCCUCAGCUUCCCCAGGAUGCCACUGGCAAAGGGGACAGAGUGGGCAUUGGGGGUCAGACAGCUGGAAUCCUAGCACCACCACCUACCAACUGUGUGAGCCUGGGCAAGGCCCUUCGAAAGCAGUGUCUUCAUCAGCAGAGGGGACCUGAUGAGGAUGCCUGUUCCUUUGGAAGGGAGUGUGAAGCUGGGAUUCAUGUUCCUGAAUACCAGAGAUCUGA
rnacentral:lncRNA from 1 species